UCACCUUGGCUUGUCUCUGUUUAUGGUGUCUCUGGAGCAGAUAAUGUAUCUAUUCCUUGUAUACUGUCAGUGAUCAUAGAGGGCCAACUGCUCUUUAAUGGAUGGAGAGCCAGGGGCCGAGCAUGAUAAUACAGUCUCACCAGUCAGGGUAGGGGUGUCACCAGCCAGGGCUCAGUCCCACAAUGCCCAGGCAAUGGGAGCAGGGCAGGCCCAGUGACAAUGGCAGACAGGGUCAGCUGAGAGUCCAGACUACUACACAAGCUUGUGUAGUAGCUUGUACACAAGGCAGGUCUGAGGACAAACUGGGAAGUCAAUCCACUGGUCAGGGUCAGGUCCAGUGAUGGUGACCAGAGUCAGACACAGACCGUCGUGAGACAGGUUAGUUUUACCCUACCGAUGAUGUGUUGCUGCAAUAUUAAUCCUGCUCAGUACGAGAGGAACCGCAGAUUCAGACCCCUGGUGCAUGCACUCAUCUGAGGAGCCACUGGUGCAAGGCUACCAUCUGCAGGCUUAUGACUGAACGCACGUUUAACAAGGCCAAGUGCUCAGUCCUGUGCUUUGGUCACAACAACCCCAUGCAAUGCUACAGGCUUGGGGAAGAGUGGCUGGAAAGCUCCCAGCAGAGAAGGACCUGGGGGUGUUGGUUGACAGCUGGCUGAACAUGAGUACUAUUCAGCAAUGUUAAUACAGUCAAAAGCCAGCAUUGUGGCUUGUAUCAGUAAUAGCGUGGCCAGCAGGAGCCGGGCAGGGAUGGGCCCCCUGUGCUCGGCCCUGGGGAGGCCCCACCUCGAAUGCUGGGCUCAGGUGU
rnacentral:ncRNA from 1 species